rnacentral:misc_RNA from 1 species
GUUUGAGUGUGAAUUUGAGAGGAUGUUUAGUACUUAGAGACAAUGCAAUGUAAUUAAAAAACUAACGACAUAAAUUUUUUGCAAAUCGAACUGAAUUGAAACUAAUUUCAGUUAAUUGGAAAAUGUUUAGCUGUAAUAAGAUAAGUAAAUAUACAAAAUAUAAGACGCAUCUGACCUAUUAGCUUUGAGCUAGCUGGUUUUUUGCUUAAAUGGCUAAAAUCAUUCCUCCAAUAUU